AUAUAGUAAAUAGAGUUGUGUUUCAAACUUCAUAAAAAUACCCAGACACAUGUGAUAUGCAUUUUAAGCCUUUCGCAAAUGGUUUCUAUACUUUAGUUUUUAUUUGUAAUAACAUGUUUUUACCUUGAGGUUUGUGCCACCUUUUAUGGGAGGCUAAGUUGGCUGGGCAACCGAAGACUUUCCCACAUUCUGAACAUUCGUAUUUCACGUUCACCAUUCGUGCGCAUUUAUGGCGGGCUAAUGACAAACAGUCACCGUAAGAUGCGCAGCAAAGUCGGCAGCGUUUUAGAGUCGUACCAAAUGGCACGAAAAAAAAUUUUGUCCUAUCUUACCCCACCCCACCAUUCGUCGUUUUUUUUCCAGAAUAUCACUUCGACAUUAUUAUUGAUUCCACCACUUUGAUGUUGGCAAAUUUAGCGUUAAAUGUGGAAUCAACAGAAUCAAAAGUAAAUUUUAAAAACCAAAAUUUUGCAAAGUAUGGAAGAAGUGUUUUUUGGUUGAUGAUAAAUUUUACGUAGUGUUUUUUAAAAAAAAUCAAACAGUCUCACUUUCUGUUGUUGCUGUCGAUGAGACUGUGUCAACUGACACGUUUGUAGAUUUCAUUCUUUCAUCGUUCCGGUGUGUAUUGUCUUUGUUGAAUUGUUCAGCUGGUAGAAUCCGAAUACCUGACAACGAUAAAUAUUAAAUUCAAAGUUUAAAAAAACCCUGCCUGCAAAUGAUAGAAGCAUUGAGAACAGAUUUAUUUUACGUCGAAAUUAAUGUAAUUUAUUUAGGACCCUCA